GCCGUGGCCAUGGAGCUCUGGAAGCUGGGCUGGGGGAGGAAGCCUGGUGGCUCUGACCUCCCCUGGAGGCGAAGGAGGCCCAGCCAUGACACUCUUAACGGAUGCCACGCCGCUGGUGAAGGAGCCCCAUCCCCUGCCUCUGGUCCCACGUCCCUGGUUCCUCCCUAGCCUCUUUGCUGCCUUCAAUGUGGUGCUGCUGGUCUUUUUCAGUGGCCUCUUCUUCGCAUUCCCUUGCAGGUGGCUGGCUCAGAACGGGGAGUGGGCCUUUCCUGUUAUCACAGGCUCCCUCUUUGUCCUUACCUUCUUCAGUCUUGUUUCACUCAACUUCUCAGACCCUGGCAUCUUACAUCAAGGCUCCGCUGAGCAGGGCCCCUUGACGGUGCACGUGGUGUGGGUGAACCACGGGGCCUUCCGCCUGCAAUGGUGUCCAAAGUGCUGCUUCCACCGCCCGCCCCGGACUUACCACUGCCCCUGGUGCAACAUCUGUGUGGAGGACUUUGACCACCACUGCAAGUGGGUCAAUAACUGCAUCGGUCACCGCAACUUCCGCUUCUUCAUGCUGCUUGUCCUGUCCCUGUGCCUCUACUCGGGCGCCAUGCUGGUCACCUGUCUCAUCUUCCUGGUGCGCACAACCCACCUGCCCUUCUCCACCGACAAGGCCAUCGCCAUCGUGGUGGCCGUGUCCGCCGCGGGCCUCCUGGUGCCGCUGUCCCUCCUGCUGCUGAUCCAGGCACUGUCCGUGAGCUCGGCCGACCGCACCUACAAGGGCAAGUGCAGACACCUUCAGGGAUACAACCCCUUCGACCAGGGCUGUGCCAGCAACUGGUAUUUAACAAUUUGUGCACCACUGGGACCCAAGGCACUGGGAGCUCUGGGGCCUCCCUACGUCCUUGGCUCUGUGUGUUCCUGCCCCACUAUGGCAUACAGGGCUGCUGCAUCCUGGAUGAGGCUGGCCUCAGCUUCCUGCAGAGCUAAGCCCUGGGCCGUGUGCUUCCCAAGCUGAGGCGGGCAGGGGAGCCGGACCAGGGAGGACGGUGGCCCCUGCAUCUGGCCUGCUGCUCCCCAGGUACAUGGCUGAAGCUGUCCAGCUGCAGAGAGUGGUGGGGCCUGACUGGACAUCCAUGCCGAAUCUGCACCCUCCAAUGUCCCCCUCUGCUCUCAACCCCCCAGCCCCAACCUCUGGGUCCCUACAAAGCAGGGAAGGGACCCCCGGGGCGUGGUGAGGCUGCAGCUCUCCAGGAGUUCCACACGGGCCCAGUGCUGCCCCUGCUGCUGCAGGAGCCCCCAGGCGAGGUUCGGCCUUCCUCUCGCCCCUGUGCACCCGGAGAUGCCCACAGCACCAGCACCUGAGCUCACCUCCGAACCCGCCUCCUGAACCCGCCUCCUGAACCUGCCUCCUUACCUCCCACUUCCUGAGCCCUGAGUGGAAGCCUUUCUGUGCCUUGCCCUUUGCCCACUCCCCUGGUGGGACUGCCAAGACCCUCAAUGCCCAUUAAAUACUCUUGCCUGCCUCUUA